rnacentral:sRNA from 1 species
AUUGGACCUAUCGGCUGGAGCUAUAAG